GUCACGCCCGAAGUCGUUACCCCAACCUCAAGGAGGGGGAUGCUUAAGGUAGGGCAAAUAGGUGGAGG
rnacentral:rRNA from 1 species